CUUCUACAUAAACAGUUUAUUAAUAAUUCAUUUAAUUAUUUAUUACCUCGCAUUAUAUUUUCUAGAGCUUUAGUUAUUUUAUUAUUAUUUCACAUAACAACAAAUCAUUAAAAUUGCAAAUUUAGAUAUACGCCAAAAGAAUAAUUGAUGUUUUAGCAAAUAUUUUACAAAGUAUUUAUUUACUUAACUAAGAAAAAAAACUAAAUAUAUAUAUAUAAAAAAAACCUAAUCAAUAAUUAUAAAAAAUACUUUAAUAAUAUACAUGGUUAUUUUUGAAUAUGCUUGCCUGAUUUUUAUCUGUCUGUUUUAUAUGAGUCAUCUAUAGGGAAAUUUUUGUUUUGAAACUUGCAGUUAUCAAAAAAUCAAUUUUAUGCUAUUAUCCAUUAGUAUUUAAAGUAGAAUAACUCAGAAACUUUUUAUUCAAAUUUUGAUUACAAUACGUCAACAUUCUCAGAAAAAUCAUUAGAUUGACAAUUGCAUUAAAACAUGUAGGAUUUAUUUGAAAAACUAAAAUUGAUAUUGCAC